AAAAUUUAAAAUUAAAAUACUAAAAUAUUAAGUAAAUAUUUAUUGAAACUUAAAUAAUUUGGCGGUAUUUUAGUUUAUUUAGAGGAAUCUGUUUAAUAAUUGAUAUUCCACGAAUAAAUUUACUUAAUUUAUUUAUUUUGUAUAUCGUUGUUAUAAAAAUAUUUUUUAAUAA
rnacentral:rRNA from 1 species